UCCUCACUCUCAGCCACGGCUCGGUUGCGCGUCAGUCACUCGCGCUGUCCUCGCUGUCCACGUACGCCCCCAACAAGCCGAGGGAGGACGUGGUGCCCGUUGCUGUGGGAAACGAGCCUGGAAGCCAAGCAGAGAGCGCACACUGUCAGAGUUUCUCAGCUUGGAAAUUGCGAGUGGCCCCGUGCUCCAUGGUGUAGUCUGUGUUCUCAGGAUCUGUCUACAGAAGAAGUGAAAUCAUUGUACUGGAGGAAUCCUGUUCCAGGCAUUCUACUAUCUACAAACAUCUAAGUGCUACUCCCAGAGCCACACUGCUCGGCCUGCAGACCCUGCAGCCUGCCCAGAAACCAGGAGCCCAGAAAAUACAGAACCACCCAAAGAAACUUCACCUUGAAAGUGAUCUCUGCCAAGCAACGUGUGCACUUGAUGUAGAAGCGGAAGAUGGGAAGUCCCAAGUACACCUCAUUCUGAACAGUCUCCUUACGAGCAUUAAACUUUU